GUCAUCCAGGAAUCUGGCCAAUGACAACUGGGCACGCCUCCUACCGCUCAAAUUUGAAUUUACACACCAGUCCGUUGCUGCUCUGUUUAUCUGCAGUCCUGCUCCGUUCAGUGCACUAGUAAUGGCUUUUACAUGGAUUAGCACAUAUCUGACAGAUGAAUUCUUAUUUUGACCGAUUUUGAGUUAUGCGGUGCAGAUUGAGAACGAAAAAGCGUGAAUAUGAACACAGACACAAUGGCUAAUGGACACAUAUUGCAAACGGCAGAAGAGAGGACAUGAAACCACCAUUCUUGGACUCUGAAGAAUACUAUGCAAACCAUGCUUUUGGAUCUACUGUUAAGUUUUUGUAAUAAAGCUGAGGUUUUGGGAUUGAAAAUCUUCUGCCACAUGAUCCGUAAAAGUGAGUAUACAUGUCAUGCUAACAUUAAUUCUUUAAAUGAUCAUGUGCUAUUAUAUGUGCUGAAAUGUGAACACAGCAAAGCAGGUAAACUCUGCACCAAGGCACCACUCUGAUUCAAAGUUCAUUCUUGAGUUUAGCUCACUCAACAUGAAAACUCCCUCAUCAUUUUCUCACCCUCAUGUCUUUUUUGAUCUUCUUUUGUGUUCCACAGAAAAAAGUCAGUUAUGCAGAUUGGAAAAGACAUGGAUGCAGCAAGGAUCCAGCUGAUUACUUCAGAUUUGGUGGACUGCUCUUUAUCUGCUGUGACUGUCACUUCUGGUGCAGAAUCAUGGACCUUUAUUUGUAUGUUUUGAUUUGACUUAUUACACUUGUGUAGCUAGUAUUCAGGAUUAAAAUACAAUGUAAUUUUUGUCCACAUAUAUUAUCAGAGCUAUAUGGAAUCCAAUAGGGUCAGUCAAAUAUUGAGAAAAAACACUAUAAACCUGACUGGGAAAAUACAAGCUAAAAUACAGUUGCCUCCACAAUCUUUUUCAAAGAAAAAAUCAUGAUACUAUAACCCUAACUUGUAAGAUAAAAAUGUAAUUUUUAGUUUUUCAAUUGCUCCUCAAGAAUUCCUCCUCAGGAAUUUGUUUAUAUAUAUUUACAUCUAAAUAAUGAAACAGUUUUAAGCAUGGAAUACACUACACGACUUCUGAACAGAUUUUUAAAACAGAUUUUUGACUUUGUAAAUAAUGACAAAGGAAAGCUGGGCAUCAUAUCCUUAAGCCUGGAAUACACUACACGAUUUUUGCCCUGAUUUUUCGCCAAUUUACAGUCAGGAGAAGUUGACGCUAGUUGCCGAAAGUCAGAGCCAGUCUGCAGAUUUGAGAUGACAGAUUCCAUAGAAAAUUGCAUAGUUUAUGAUAGUCACAGACUCCGGGUUUUUAAGCUUCAGACUCUGAUUCUAUCGGAGGAUAUCAAAAAUUUUAUAUUUUCAGCCGAUUUUACAAUGCAUAUUGUUUUCAUUUGUCAUGCGUCUCCUAGCAACAAGGCUCAUGUUUCUGAGUGAGUUUUUUGUGAUCGGAACAACUUUAAAGUCUGGUAGUGUAUGAUCCUCAGUCAUGUAGUGUA